rnacentral:rRNA from 1 species
GACGAAGGUGGCGAGCGUUACUCGGAAUCACUAGGCGUAAAGCGCGUGUAGGCGGGUGCUUAAGUCCGUCGUGAAAUUUCCCGGCUCAACCGGGAAGGGUCGACGGAUACUGGGCAUCUUGAGUAUGGCAGGGGAAGCUGGAAUUCCCGGUGUAGCGGUGAAAUGCGUAGAGAUCGGGAGGAACACCAGUGGCGAAGGCGGCCCCCUGGGCCGUUCCUGACGCUGAGACGCGAAGGCGCGGGGAGCGAACGGG